rnacentral:rRNA from 1 species
GUGAGGAAUAUUGGACAAUGGAUGGAAAUCUGAUCCAGCCAUGCCGCGUGCAGGAAGACGGCCCUAUGGGUUGUAAACUGCUUUUAUACGGGAGCAAUAAGGUCUAUGCAUAGAUUGAUGAGAGUACCGUAUGAAUAAGCAUCGGCUAACUCCGUGCCAGCAGACGCGGUAAUACGGAGGAUGCGAGCGUUAUCCGGAUUUAUUGGGUUUAAAGGGUGCGUAGGCGGCUUUGUAAGUCAGCGGUGAAAUUUUGCAGCUUAACUGUAAAAGCGCCGUUGAUACUGUGAAGCUAGGAUUUGGUUGCUGUGGGCGGAAUGUGUGGUGUAGCGGUGAAAUGCAUAGAGAUCACACAGAAUAUCGAUUGCGAAGGCAGCUCACAAAGCCAAUAUUGACGCUGAGGCACGAAAGUGUGGGGAUCAAACAGGAUUAGAUACCCCAGUAGUCC